rnacentral:tRNA from 1 species
GCCUUCAUGGCUCAACGGACAGAGCGCCGCACUACGAAUGCGGAGAUUCCAGGUUCGAUUCCUGGUGGAGGCAC